ACUCCUACGGGAGGCAGCAGUGGGGAAUAUUGGACAAUGGGGGAAACCCUGAUCCAGCAAUGCCGCGUGUGUGAAGAAGGCCUGAGGGUUGUAAAGCACUUUCAACUGUGAGGAUUGGGAUUUUGGUUAAUACCCGAGAUCCUUGACGUUAGCAGUAGAAGAAGCACCGGCUAACUCCGUGCCAGCAGCCGCGGUAAUACGGAGGGUGCGAGCGUUAAUCGGAAUUACUGGGCGUAAAGCGCGUGUAGGUGGCUUGUUAAGCCAGAUGUGAAAGCCCCGGGCUCAACCUGGGAACUGCAUUUGGAACUGGCAGGCUAGAGUUUUGUAGAGGGUGGUAGAAUUUCAGGUGUAGCGGGUGAAAUGCNUAGAGAUCUGAAGGAACACCGGUGGCGAAGGCGACCACCUGGCCAAUAACUGACACUCGAGACGCGAAGGCGUGGGUAGCAAACGGGAUUAGAUACCCUGGUAGCUCG
rnacentral:rRNA from 1 species